rnacentral:rRNA from 1 species
UACGUAGGGCGCAAGCGUUAUCCGGAAUUAUUGGGCGUAAAGAGCUCGUAGGCGGUUUGUCGCGUCUGCCGUGAAAGUCCGGGGCUCAACUCCGGAUCUGCGGUGGGUACGGGCAGACUAGAGUGAUGUAGGGGAGACUGGAAUUCCUGGUGUAGCGGUGAAAUGCGCAGAUAUCAGGAGGAACACCGAUGGCGAAGGCAGGUCUCUGGGCAUUAACUGACGCUGAGGAGCGAAAGCAUGGGGAGCGAACAGGAUUAGA